rnacentral:lncRNA from 1 species
AUGGAUUCUACAAGGAUUUAUGCUUUCAUAAUGAUAUACCUGUUGGCUUUCUGCAUAUUUACAUCAGAUCUGUGUAAGAAAUCAGAAGGAAGAGAACUUGAUGGAGCAUGUAAAUCAGAUAGUGAUUGUCAACCUGGAUGUCCUGGAAAAAAAGGGCAAUGUAAUCACGGGCGAUGUUGGUGUAUUGAUGCAUCAUCUUUAGAUGAUAUUACUACUACUGUUAUACCUCCAAUUGGAUUAUGA